UUCAACGGCCGCGGUAUUCUAACCGUGCAAAGGUAGCGUAAUCAUUUGUCUCCCAAAUAGAGACCGGUAUGAACGGCUAAAUGAGGACAAACCUGUCUCCUGCAACUAAUCAGUGAAACUGAUCUCCCAGUACAAAAGCUGGCAUACCCACAUAAGACGAGAAGACCCUGUGGAGCUUAAAAUUAACUUUAAGUUGGGGCGACUUCGGAACAAAAUAAAACUUCCGAGCACAUACUGACCAACGAACCAAGUUACCCCAGGGAUAACAGCGCAAUCUUCUUCAAGAGUCCCUAUCGACAAGAAGGUUUACGACCUCGAUGUUGGAUCAGGACACCCCA
rnacentral:rRNA from 1 species